GAUUUUAAAAAAUAUGUGGAGACUGUACUUUCAGGGAUCAUUUCUAUAAUUUGUUACUAGGGAAAUUUCUCUGAAUGUGUAGAGCACUUAA